ACAGUGCAAUUUAGUUUUAGCUUGUCAUGUGGAAAGUAUGGCUUAACUGUUGUAAUUGAUUCUAAUCUUGUUUGUGUUUGCGGCUUUAAAUCAAACAACAAGGCCUUUGCUCUGAACCUAUAAAAAAAAAUAAAAAAAAAAAAGGAAAGAAAGGUCACUGCCAUCAGGACCACUCCAAUACGCAGUUUUUGAUGACAUUAUAAAAUCCUCAUGCAGCUUUGUGGUAUAUUUGGAUGGGAGGUUUGGUUGGGAUUCAGGUCUCUUCAUCUAAUGGCUGCUAAAUUGCAAUGGAUUCGUAUAUAAAGGGAAAGGGCCAAUUUACCCCUCUACUUUUCAAAAUGGUUUGCAUUUAACCUUUGUUAUACUUUGCGAACAAAAAUAUCCUUGGUGUUAGCAAAGUUGUUAAAAGUUAAAACUGCCCCUAUUUUUAAUGGAACUCCAGCUGGGACGAAAAAGGCUUAAAAAUGUAUAUUUUUGCUGACAUGGCUACUUAUUUGGCGAUUAUCUCUAUUUUCAUUAUAACAACCAAAUGCUUAAAACCAGAAAGAUUGAACUGCAAAAGAACGAGAAAGAUUGAACUCAACAAAAGCUAAACUCCAGAAUCAACUUCGAACUCAAGAAAACAAGACUAAUUUAUCUUAACAGUGGCUAAAAUCCACAAUCAACUCGAAUAUACAGAAAGCAAGAUCUCACGAAAAAAAAAAACAGAAAACAGAUUAGAUUUAAAUCAAAA